GACGAACCUUGCUAACGUUAUUCGGAAUUACUGGGCUUAAAGGGUGCGUAGGCGGUGCGGAAAGUCGGGUGUGAAAUCCCCCAGCUCAACUGGGGAAUUGCGCCUGAAACUGCCGUACUCGAGGAAGGCAGAGGUACGCGGAACUUAGGGUGGAGCGGUGAAAUGCGUUGAUAUCAUCUGGAAUACCGGAGGCGAAGGCGGCUCACUGGGGCUUUUCUGACGCUGAGGAACGAAAGCCAGGGUAGCGAACGGG
rnacentral:rRNA from 1 species